GUCCCCUGGACCUGCCUUUUAAACGCUUGUUCUGUCUCUUUCUAACUCCUUUGUCUCCGCCGGACUCGGGGUAUCCGCUGGGUGGUGUGGGGCUGGUUUCCCCAACAGCUUUCUCUCCACCCAGCUUCAUAGAUGACACCCUGCCUGCUAGGCCAGAUGUUCUCCGGCCAAGAACACUAUUAUAGCUGCCUGGCUUCUCCCUGAGCAGCGUCAGGUGUGAGGAGUGCGCAUGGCAGCUGCCCAGUGACAGUGUUCCACGCCUUGGUCAAUGGUACCACCAGCCAGCGAGGUUCCCAAGCCAAGAACUUCGGAAGCAUCCGUGAUUCUUCAUCUUCCACAUCCACUUUAUCACCGGAAGCACGCAUUCAACUUUCUAAACAUCCCUCAGACUGACCCACAUCUUUCUAUCCACUUUUCACAUCUUGCUUGAAUGACUUCCCCAGGCCCAGCCAGUCUCCCGCCUCCAGCUCCGCCCCCUUCUGACUCCCUUUAUGUGGUACAAUCAGAGAGCCCUUCCCAAAGCACAAAUCUGCUUUCACUGCUUUGCUUCAAGCCCUUUCGUGGCUCCUAUUUCCAGCUGGAUGAGGUCCAAGCCUCUUAACGUGCUGUACGUGUACAUGCCUGACCCCCGCUACUUGACCAGCCAAGUUUCUUCAUAGCGCUGUGUCUUUGUUCCUCCUGCCUAGAAUGUCCUUCCCCUUUUCUCUCGCUUCAUGGUGUGCCAAACUCCUAUCCUGUGAGAUCCAGCUUACACGUCAGCUUCCCCGUGAUGCUUUUCCUAACUCCCUAUUCAGCCAGUGAAGUGCUCCCUGCGUUCCCAUGUGGCUUGUAUCUCUGUAAAAGCUCCACAGAGCUGUUUUAAUUUAUCCGUUAAUGUACAUGUCUUCCCCACUAGACUUUUGCUCCUUAAAGUAUCUCCUUCAUCUCUGCUUUGCAUAACCUAACAGAGUUCAACACAUAGGAGUGUCUUAAUAAAUGCUGAAUAAAAUAAUUAAUAAACAA
rnacentral:lncRNA from 1 species